UUCUAUUGCGUCCUACCGAAAGUCUGAACGGGAGUCACCGGAAGUACUGUAGCUUGUCGGAAAUCCUCGCCGGGAAAAUAAGGCACCUAUCCAAGAAAACAGAACACACCCACACACACCAGAAGAGAGAAUAGAAAGAAAAGAGCAGGGGUUGCCGGAAAAAUCGCCGGCGACAAGCAAGAAUUCAAAACCUCUAGACAGCAGUAGAGACAAACUUGAAU
rnacentral:lncRNA from 1 species